UGUCUCCUCCACCCCUCCUAAGGUGGAUUCAAGCCCCAGGCCCUUCGGCCCGGGGCUUUUUUU
rnacentral:ncRNA from 1 species